GUGUAUGGCCAUACCACCCUGAAUGUGCCUGAUCUUUUCUGGUGUUGGAAGUUAAGCAGGGUUGGGGCUGGUCAGUACAUGGAUGGGAGGCUACCUGGGAAGACGUGGUAGGCUUUGGCA
ensembl:rRNA 5S_rRNA 5S ribosomal RNA